GGAGGGUAGAGCUCCGCGGUAGAGGGCUUGCUUGGCAUGCAUGGGGUCCUGGGUUCAAUCCCCAGGACCUCCA
rnacentral:tRNA from 1 species